GUGUGGUGGUCGAUGCUCUGCCCUACGAGUGGCUGUGCGCCUUCCCACUGCACCUCCUCGCGGGAACGCCGAGGCUCCCGCCAACUCCUUACCUCCUUCCAGAUGUAAUAGUGACUGAGGAAGCAGCCGAUCUCUCCCCUGCCUCCACUACCUUGACCGCGAUCUCCUGCUCAUACAGAGUCCGCAGCAUCCGAUCCCGCCUGUCUUUCCGACGCUUCAGAUUGAUCAUGAAAAUCUGGGUUGAAGAGAAAGACGUCAGCCUCCCAGCUCGGGUGUGAGGAAUUAAAGGGAAUCCCAGCCCGCUCCCCUCCGGCAGCCCCGCUGGAAAAGCAGAUCCUACCAGUGUUCACAGAGGAAAGCUGCUCUUCAAGGAUCAAUAAAGGUGACAGGAGACCAGUUACAGUCAAGCCUAUAAUUUCCCAAUAUAUAGAUGUUUCGAUUGAUAUUAAACAUAGAGUAAAACGUCCAUCUCCAGCUCCUGUCCCAGAGGAACACUGACCCACACAGUUCUCCACGCCACUGCCACUGCCUGUAUUUAGGAUUAUCCGUGAGCCCAAGGACAAGGGCACAGCAAAGAGAAGCUUUUUGUAAUUAGUUUGGGCACUGAAAUUCCGCUGCUACCCCUUUCUGCCAGAGCAGAGAGCCCAGAGCAGGAACGGAGGUGUCUGGGCAGAGCUCAGCCCAAGCCCCGAGGAGAUGGACUCGGUGGUGGAGCACAGAGGGCUGAACCUUCAUUUGCAGGUAAACUGCAGAGGGUCAGGGAUAUUUUUCAAUGCCAGGCAAGACAAGUGCAGCUCUGUAGCCUGUGGAGCAAAACCUCAUCCCAGUAAGAAGCGGAUCAAAUUCUAGGUCAGUACAAAUGCAAAAAUAAUGAAUUCGAUAAAUAAAGUACAGCCACAAAGGACAACACGGAAAAAGCCUCCACCAGCUGUGUCCUGGACACAGAUGCUCAAACACACACAGCCAAAUCAGGUUCAGACUUUAGGAGUCGUGUAAACAGAUGUAGCAGAAUACGCCAUGAAAACAAAGGCUGCCCUGAUCCCCACGACUCCUGCGGUCACGGUGCCACUGCCACCCUGGCAGCUGCACCCACAGGGACUGCUGGCUCGGGGGACAACUUGGACACUGCUGAACGAAAGCACAGCAGAUGCCGCUCCAGCCCCAUCUCCUCACUCAGCGCCCGCUCUCUGCAACGUGAGAGAGUCGGAAUUUCUGCAGGGUCGUGGUCAGCAACUAUCCUACCAGUUCAUUUUUACUGAAGGUCAUAGCGGAAAAAUGUGCUGCAGGGGGAAACCUGCCACAGUCAGGAGACAUCAGGCAGGAUUCUCGCUCCCUCCAGGACGUAGGUAGCAGAGAGCCCAGUCCUCCAGCUGCUCCAGGCUCUCCAGUCUCUCUCUUGGAUAAGGGAAAUCGUUCCCUCCUAUCACUGGAAAGCAGGAGAGUUUUCCCAAAAGACCAGAACGGAAGGACUGCCAAGCUGCUCCGCAGACUCAGAUGUAGAGGAAACAACACAAGAACCUGGGAGCUAAAGAACCCGCUUUUCAGGCUCAAUUCUGCCGUCUCCUCUUGGCUGGAUUAGAACAUCCAGGCCAUCAAGACAGGCAGCCCAAAGACCUGCUGGGCACCGUCCCUGCACAAACCCGCGCUUCUCAUCAGGGGUUCCGUGAGAGGUACUAAGAGCCCACAGACCUGAUGGGUCUCAUUUCCCUGCAGCAAAUGCCAGAGGGAAAGAACGCUCCCCCAGCCCUUUCCCCUCCGGUUCCCUGAGCUCAGCAGUUCUCCCCACACAGGGACAGCCGGUUUCUCCUUGCAAGCAGUCUCAAUCCAAAAGAUGAGUUAUUAGGCAAGAGCUAACUAUGUGAAAAGAUAAUACACUCUAAAGGAAAUGGCUGGAAGCUCAGGUCUAGGGUGAACUCAGGUCAUUUAAGUGAUCAACAGGAAGACAAAGCCACUGACAGCAAAACAGGUU